GACGAACGCUGGCGGCGUGCCUAAUACAUGCAAGUCGAACGCUUUUUCUUUCACCGGAGCUUGCUCCACCGAAAGAAAAAGAGUGGCGAACGGGUGAGUAACACGUGGGUAACCUGCCCAUCAGAAGGGGAUAACACUUGGAAACAGGUGCUAAUACCGUAUAACACUAUUUUCCGCAUGGAAGAAAGUUGAAAGGCGCUUUUGCGUCACUGAUGGAUGGACCCGCGGUGCAUUAGCUAGUUGGUGAGGUAACGGCUCACCAAGGCAACGAUGCAUAGCCGACCUGAGAGGGUGAGCGGCCACACUGGGACUGAGACACGGCCCAGACUCCUACGGGAGGCAGCAGUAGGGAAUCUUCCGCAAUGGACGAAAGUCUGACGGAGCAACGCCGCGUGAGUGAAGAAGGUUUUCGGAUCGUAAAACUCUGUUGUUAGAGAAGAACAAGGAUGAGAGUAACUGCUCGUCCCUUGACGGUAUCUAACCAGAAAGCCAUGGCUAACUACGUGCCAGCAGCCGCCGUAA
rnacentral:rRNA from 1 species